rnacentral:lncRNA from 1 species
CCUCCCAAACGUCCAAUAGCUUCUUCUUCAUCGUCUAGAAUUACCAAAAAUCUAGAUCUUAUUAAUUGCUCAAUCGAUGGAAAUGAACACCACAACGCAUUCGAAGCGUGUUCUUCAACAGGGUCCUUGAUUAGGUUCUCUCUUUCUCUCUCUGUUUAGAGUUUAAAUUGUAAUUUUGAAGCUCGUUCACCUGCAAAUUCACGUCAGCCGAUCAGCGAACAGAGACGGGUAAAGGCCUCCCCGGGUUGGGUCGGGUUGUUUUCUGACCGCCCCUGUUUCAUCACUCGUUAGUCGUUAGCACUCAAGUCACAAAUUCGCUGAGCCGGUGAGAGUACAUAUUCUUA